rnacentral:rRNA from 1 species
AGCAGCCGCGGUAAUUCCAGCUCCAAUAGCGUAUAUUAAAGUUGUUGCAGUUAAAAAGCUCGUAGUUGAAUUUCGGGGUCAGCAAGUUGGUCGUGCCACUGGUAUGUACUGGCUUUGCUGAUUCCUCCUUCUUGUAGAACCGUAAUGCCAUUAAGUUGGUGUUGCGGGAAAACAGGACUGUUACUUUGAAAAAAUUAGGGUGUUUAAAGCAGGCUAACGCUUGAAUACAUUAGCAUGGAAUAAUGAAAUAGGACGACGAUCCUAUUUUGUUGGUUUCUAGGAUUGACGUAAUGAUUAAUAGGGAUAGUUGGGGGCAUUAGUAUUCAAUUGUCAGAGGUGAAAUUCUUGGAUUUAUUGAAGACUAACUACUGCGAAAGCAUUUGCCAAGGAUGUUUUCAUUAAUCAAGAACGAAAGUUAGGGGAUCGAAGACGAUCAGAUACCGUCGUAGUCUUAACCAUAAACUAUGCCGACUAGGGAUCGGAUGAUGUUAAUUUUUUAAUGACUCA